GACGAACGCUGGCGGCGUGCUUGACACAUGCAAGUCGAACGAUGAAGCCGGAGCUUGCUCUGGUGAAUUAGUGGCGAACGGGUGAGUAACACGUGAGUAACCUGCCCUUGACUCUGGGAUAACUGCGGGAAACUGUAGCUAAUACCGGAUACGACCCUCGGAGGCAUCUCCUGGGGGUGGAAAGAAUUUCGGUCAAGGAUGGACUCGCGGCCUAUCAGCUAGUUGGUGAGGUAAAGGCUCACCAAGGCGACGACGGGUAGCCGGCCUGAGAGGGUGACCGGCCACACUGGGACUGAGACACGGCCCAGACUCCUACGGGAGGCAGCAGUGGGGAAUAUUGCACAAUGGGCGCAAGCCUGAUGCAGCAACGCCGCGUGAGGGAUGACGGCCUUCGGGUUGUAAACCUCUCUUAGCAGGGAAGAAGCGAAAGUGACGGUACCUGCAGAAAAAGCACCGGCUAACUACGUGCCAGCAGCCGCGGUAA
rnacentral:rRNA from 1 species